rnacentral:rRNA from 1 species
GACAGAGGGUGCAAACGUUGUUCGGAUUUACUGGGCGUAAAGCGCGUGUAGGCGGCUUGGCAAGUCGGAUGUGAAAGCCCACGGCUCAACCGUGGAAGCGCACCCGAAACGGCCUCGCUCGAGUCUCGGAGAGGAAGGUGGAAUGCUUGGUGUAGCGGUGAAAUGCGCAGAUAUCAGGAGGAACACCGGUGGCGAAGGCGGGUCUCUGGGCAACAACUGACGCUGAGGAGCGAAAGCGUGGGGAGCGAACAGG